rnacentral:tRNA from 1 species
GCCUUCGUGGUUUAGUGGUCAGCACGCUCGACGAGUAAUCGAGAGGUCCGUGGUUCGAGUCCCGGCGAAUUCG